rnacentral:rRNA from 1 species
GACCUGGCCGGGCGGUCCGCCUAACGGUGUGUACUGUCUGGCCGGGCCUUACCUCUUGGUGAGCCAGCAUGCCCUUCACUGGGUGUGUUGGGGAACCAGGACUUUUACCUUGAGAAAAUUAGAGUGUUCAAAGCAGGCCUACGCCCGAAUACAUUAGCAUGGAAUAAUAGAAUAGGACGUGCGGUUCUAUUUUGUUGGUUUCUAGAGUCGCCGUA